rnacentral:rRNA from 1 species
CCCUAUGGGGUGCAGCAGGCGGAAUGAUAAGUCAGUGGUGAAAUCCUACGGCUCAACUGUAGAACUGCCAUUGAUACUGUCGUUCUUGAGUACACUUGGAGUGGGCGGAAUGUGUCAUGUAGCGGUGAAAUGCUUAGAUAUGACACAGAACACCGAUCGCGAAGGCAGCUCACUAAAUUGUAACUGACGCUCAGGCACGAAAGCGUGGGGAUCAAACA